GCAGACGAACUUUGUGGAGUAAACUUAAUGUGGACUAAAAUUUGUUUUUUAAAGUAUAAAUUGUGUUCUCAUGAUCUUAAUUAAGUGUAAUAAUUAUUUCUUUAGAUAGUUAAAAUGGUGAAUUGUAGUGUUUUGGGCUGCAAAAGCCGCACUGAACGAAAAUGUGAAAACAUAACCUUUCAUACUUUUCCACGAGAUGUCUUUAUUAAUAAAAUAUGGACAAAGGCGACAGGAAGAGACAGGAAGACACAGGAAGACAGGAAGACAAAGGUGGCCUUCAUUAUCCGUCACCGUCAGUUAUUAAAUUAUGUGAAAUAGCGGAGGAAAUAUUUAAAAAAAAUAAACUACUAAUAAGCAAAACAAACUUGAUGGAGCAUCUACUGCAAGCAUGUUGUACGAAAUGACCUUAAUUUAUUUUCCGAAAAUGACCAUUUUCGUGAUAACCACCAUUAUAUUUUAUUAAUUAAAGCCAUUUGUAGAAAAUACUUAAAUGUGAGGUUACAUUAUUGUACUAAAUCCUUAACUUGUGAAGAAAAUGUAAGAAAUUUUUACACGAAAUUAAUUUUAUUCAAAGGACAGUAAAUUUUUUUUGGUAAAAA